AGCAUUCAUGGAUAGUUACAGCCAGGGUGAAAAAAAAAUAAUCUAGCUGAUAUAUCUGUUUUAGAUAGACAUUCAGUCACCACAGUACCUAGAGUGCUGAAAUACAGCAUGGAACAGAAACAAACCCAAACCCUCAUUACCUAAGGCAUAUCUAGAAAUAUACCUGCUUGUCUGUGAGACCCAAAAGCAUCUUCUGAAACCACUGAGCUCCAGUAGACUUGGGCUCCAUCCUGCAUUCUGUGAUAACUCCUUGUGCAAGUCUCAGCUGCCAGAGGGCUCUGAUAUCCCUCUAGGACAGUAAAAGCAGAGGUACUGGUAAAGGACAGCAGAAGCCAUGACUGGAAGGAAGCCCUCUAAAAAUCCCAGCAGCAGGACUGAGGGUAGCAUUCUGGAUGUGGAAAAACAGAAGAGGAAAAUUACAAAGGCAACAAAAUAACUCCAAGAUCUCAGCAGCUUAGCUAUCCCACCAUCUGUUAAAAAAGACAAAACAUUAAAACAGAACAAAACUUGUGGUCCAACAGCUAUGUCUGCAAAGAAGAAACAGUGCUAUAGUUGAAAUUCCGUGCAACUCCCUUUGGAUCAAAAUAUUACGACAACAACAAAUAGAAGUGACCACAUUUAAUGGAUACUCAAACAGCUAGGCCAUGACUCAGAUUUCUUACUGUUGUUUGGAAGUGAAAUCUGAGAGCAGAGACGAGAGAGGGAAAGAAACCUUGUGUUAAGCUGGCAUGCACCAGUGAAUAAAUGGCUGGCAUUUGCAAAGCUUCAUUGCAGGGGAGCUUUUAACGGUUUGCCACUGCCAGCUGAUGUCUCUUUAAGUGUCACUGCCAAGAAGCCAAAACUGGAAGCAGGUGCAGGGGCAGAGGAACUGGAUGUGGAAAGGGAGAAAAAAAGAGAAAGAACAGAACUUCUGUUGUUAAAAUGCUGUUGCUUUCAUUAAAACCUAAACAAAGCUUUACUUUAAACUUGAAUAAUAAUUUUUCAUGUAAUAGACUCCUGCCUAUCAAGUUUGACAAUACUCUUACAUUUCUGCACUGAGCUAAAAGAUUUUUGUUGGUUGUUGGGGUUUGUUUGUUUGUUUGUUUCCCUGUAAAGCCUUGGAUUGACU